GCGACAUCGCAGUCACAAAUGUUCGUCGUAGGAUGAGGUUCGAUUUUGCGUAAGAUGUAUGGAUAAGCUGACUGUUGGGUUAUGACAGCGAGUUCGAAACGAUAUUCAGAUGCAAAACUAUUAAAGGUUGGAGAUUUAAAGACACAAAGCAACGAACGAGGAAUAUUACAACUUAAAACACUGCUUGAAAGUUGACAGGACAAUUUAUCAGUGUACCAAAAGAAAUUCGUCAAGUGCCAGCUUUUCAUCACUGAGUGAGAUGGAGGCCUAUCAA